ACUCAAACCAAGAAAGCCCUUCAUGAUACCCACAAUAGUGCCACUAUGGUCCGGGAAAUUUUGAACGGCCGCAACAACAUUAGCCGUAUUCAGGAAAGUCUGAGCAUGAGCAGCGAUGAACAUGAACAGGGACAUAACAGCCACAGGCGGCCUGUUUAUGGUUCCGGUGACGGCAAGCCACAUGAAGAAAUAGCCGGCAAAGCUCUGGAUAGCCCCAGCCAGAUGUACGACCCAUGGCCCGCCGUGGAGAAAUGAGAAUCGCCCUUGGACGGAGCUAGGCUUAGCGGCGACAGCGGUAUAAAGGAGACCGGAGAGAAUUCCGGCGUUGGCACCGAUAUCUUUGAAAACAGAGACGGUAUCGAGAGUGGAUUGAUCGUAAAAUUGGGUGGACUUGAGGACAGGGGAGUAGAUGCCGAAGGCGUACGAUGCACCGCUGCUGCACUGGAUCCAUAUGCUAGCCACCGCUGCUAGCCAUUUGCUGCUCUCCAUAGCAAAUGUUCUG
rnacentral:misc_RNA from 1 species